UUUUGUUUUUAUAUUUAAAGUUGCAAUAAAUGUAUGUAUUUUAAACCAAGUCCCAUCAGCUUCUAACUUCAUCUUGCUGCUAAAGAAGGGCAGGUGCCCCCCUCUUGAGGUACCCAGGUCUAUCAUCCAGAGCCAGGUUCUCAUUGGCUCAGGAAAAGGUGAGCACAACCAUAACCACUGUGUUUUUUUUUAUUUUGGUUGAAACUUAAUACACUAGGAAGUCUCCCUUUCUCUCUCCUUUGAGGAAAUCCAUUCCAGGCAAAAGGGUGCAAUGUCUCCAUACGACACUACUAUGCAAGUGAUUUGAGCCUGUCCCUUUAAGGCUCUGAUCAAUUCCCAUCAGCUUCUAACUUCAUCUUGC